CCAAACCAGCAAGAAGAGAGAGAAAACAAAAACAAAACCCUAGAGUGAGAAAAUCAAAGAAAAAAUGUGAAUUUUCAAGGAAAUUAAGUGAAAAAGGUGAUAUUUUUUCUAUUAAGCUUGAGUUUUCUAUUCCCAAGCAUUUCUCCUUAUUUUUCAUGAUUAAAUUACAUGUUUUCAUGAUGAAUUGAUGGCUGAUCAAAUGGGUUAGGAGAGAGAAAGUUGUUAGAUUAAUUUGAUUUUAAGUUAUGUUAGUGUUUUUAGUUAGUUUAGCAUAUUUAGGAACAAAACAACAAGAAAAGAAUUUAUUUUCCUCCAUUACCAUUAUUUUUCUAGGGGAUUAUUGGCUGAUGAUCUUGAUGUUUAUUUAAGGAAUUAUGAUGAAUAAUGAUGAAUUAUGAGCUUAGAAAAAUAAUGAGAAUUUUCGGAGCAAAAAUAUGAAUUUUUACCCACUAGGGGUAUUUUCGUAAUUUGCUAUCGGGAUUGAUAAAUUGAAUCUCAUUCAUAGUCACUAAGGUAAUUUAAGUAUAAUUGGAGUGUAGAAAGUGAGAAGAAUUGAUUUGGAGUUAAAUUGGAGAUAAUAGGUCGAAUUAGGUCAACACCGCAUAUAAGCGAUAAUCGAAUAAGUUGUAUAUCAUAUCAUGCAUAUAUACCGAGUCUAAAUUGAUUUUAUAAUGGUCAAGCAUUGAUGUGGUGAAUUAUGUAUUGUACAUUGUGGAUAGGUGGUGAGCAAAGUACACUGGUAAAAGUACAAAGAUUGUUCUUGGAGACUGGGAUUAGGAGUACAUCGACUCCUAGAACUGUGAGUGAACUUAUUAUUGUCUUAAUUAUAUAGAGUAAUUUUAUACAAUUGUGUGAUUUUAUGGAAAAUGAGUUUAAAUGGUAAAUUGCUUUGUUUCAAGAGAAAUUGUGAUUUUAUAAAAUGAUUUUAUAAAUUUUUUGAAAAAUCGAAUACUGGUUUUCAAAAAUAGAGUACAAGGAAACUGUUAAUUGUUGCAAUUCGAUUGUUUAAAUUGAUUGGCUUAUGGUAAAUUGGGCAUGAUUGUCUAGUUUGCAAUUGUAUUGAAACACAAAUUGUUUGGUUGCAUUGAAAGAUUGCGAAUUACAAAAAACUUGCCAUAUCAUGUUAUUGAGUUUUAUUGUAUGGUGGAUUAUAUAUUAAUUAAUCACUGCAGUAGGGGGUUUCUGUGGACCAGCCUUUUAGAGGGGCACGGUAAACCCCAUGAUAUUCUUACCUCGAAUGGAGAGGCGCGUAGAGUAUCUCCUGGGGUAAAGCUAAGGGUUCACUUCACGCCAAACCACUACGUGAGGGGGAACUCAGCCAACGCCAAGGAACGGCUGUAUUUUUCUCAAACUAAAAAUAUAUUUUAAGUGUAUACAAAAAUUUUAAUAGCCUUGGCGGACUCGGUUGGAUACCCUAUGCAAGGUAUCACCGAGUAUGAGUUUUGGCACGAGCCAAAGUUUUAAGAAAUUCAUAAGCCAAGUUGAUUACCCGAUUUAUAUGGAUUGAUUUUAUUUGGUUGAAAUGAGUUGAAAGGUAAUGAAAUUACUGUAUGAUGACUUAUUUUAAUUGUCUCCAUUUACUCGACUUUAGAUAGUUUAGAUGGUAUCUGUUUACUCAUUGGGAUUUUAUAAUCUUACCACUCUCAUUUCCUCACAUUUCAGGCUCAGGGAAUUCCAUAGUUAGCUGACUUUGACAAGGACCUUCAUUUGGACUCGAAUCGGUAAAAGCUGUAGGUUUCCAGCUUCCGAUGCAUUUCGGUUAGAUGUGGG
rnacentral:lncRNA from 1 species